rnacentral:rRNA from 1 species
AUUGAACGCUGGCGGAAUGCUUUACACAUGCAAGUCGAACGGCAGCACGGACUUCGGUCUGGUGGCGAGUGGCGAACGGGUGAGUAAUGUAUCGGAACGUGCCCAGUCGUGGGGGAUAACGUAGUGAAAAUUACGCUAAUACCGCAUACGAUCUAUGGAUGAAAGCGGGGGAUCGCAAGACCUCGCGCGAUUGGAGCGGCCGAUAGCGGAUUAGGUAGUUGGUGGGGUAAAGGCCCACCAAGCCAACGAUCUGUAGCUGGUCUGAGAGGACGACCAGCCACCCUGGAACUGAGACACGGUCCAGACUCCUACGGGAGGCAGCAGUGGGGAAUUUUGGACAAUGGGCGAAAGCCUGAUCCAGCCAUUCCGCGUGCAGGAUGAAGGCCCUCGGGUUGUAAACUGCUUUUGUACAGAACGAAAAGGUUUCUACUAAUACUAGGAGCUCAUGACGGUACUGUAAGAAUAAGCACCGGCUAACUACGUGCCAGCCGCCGCAGUAA